rfam:Gossypium hirsutum cultivar TM-1 chromosome 2, whole genome shotgun sequence
UAUUAAAAAUUUCAUCUAUUUUUACUAUUAAAAUCUGACGUGGUUGGCGAAAUAACCAGAUGGUUACACAUGGUAUGCUACGUAUACCUCAUACUAAUUUACAUGGACUAAUUUUUAAUAAUAGAAAUUGAUGGAAGUUCUAAUA